rnacentral:rRNA from 1 species
UACGAAGGGGACUAGCGUUGUUCGGAAUCACUGGGCGUAAAGCGCACGUAGGCGGAUGUGUCAGUCAGGGGUGAAAUCCCGGGGCUCAACCUCGGAACUGCCUUUGAUACAGCACGUCUCGAGUCCGGAAGAGGUGGGUGGAAUUCCUAGUGUAGAGGUGAAAUUCGUAGAUAUUCGCAAGAACACCAGUGGCGAAGGCGGCUCACUGGCCCGAUACUGACGCUGAGGUGCGAAAGCGUGGGGAGCAAACAGG